UACGUAUGGAGCAAGCGUUAUCAGGAUUUACUGGGCGUAAAGGGAGCGUAGGCGGCCUGCCAAGUCUGAUGUGAAAUACCGGGGCUCAACCCCGGGGCUGCAUUGGAAACUGGCAGGCUGGAGUGCCGGAGAGGCAGGCGGAAUUCCUAGUGUAGCGGUGGAAUGCGUAGAUAUUAGGAGGAACACCAGAGGCGAAGGCGGCUAACUGGACUGUAACUGACGCUGAGGCACGAAAGUGUGGGGAGCAAACAGG
rnacentral:rRNA from 1 species